GGCCAUGUCCUGAGCUGCAGUCAGUUUCCCGUCAGGCUCGCACGGCGCUCGGUGAGGGCCGCAGGGACUGGGACCGGCUGACACCACACUCAGGCAACAGAACAACUUUUGUGCACUCCGUCCUCCUCUGGAGCUUUUUUUUUUUUUUUUUUUUUUAAAAACAUGUCUUUCAACCCAAAUUGGGAUUAGUGUGCUGCUUUGGUUCUGCAGCUCGCUUUUACUUCGGCCCCUUUGGUCAUAGUUCAAAACCACGUUAGCUAAAUUUGACAAGCUAAUACACUUUUCAGCAAAUUAAAUGAACAGCAUGUACAUUCCCAUUUGAGCAGUAACAUCUCAUCAUCAUCAGGGAAACGUGGCGAACGAAACAUAGCAAACAGGCUCUUGUGUCUUUAUGAGUGAACGUGCAGCGCUGACGAACACAACACAGAUGGAGAUGCUAAACUCACCUGACUGUUGGACUCAACUCAUCUUCAGGCCCAAGCCAGAAUAUCCAGAGUAAAGCGCCACCUCUGGCACACAGAUCACCACACCACUCUCUUUGCAUAUAUUUAUAUCAAAUGAAAGACUUUUUUUUAAUCCUGUUGGAACAAGGACCGACUGCCAAAUUUGAUUUUUAAAUGUACUUUUAAGCUGUUCAUGCUUUACGUUUGCAUUUUUCUUAACAACUGAACAACAUGGAGCUGUGUUUACGGCUAUGAUGGGAUUUGAAAGUUACAGAUUAUUUUUUUUAUAAGCAAAUCACACCCCUAAAAACACAGUCCCUUUUCUCACAGCUAAAUAUUGUAACUCAAAGUCAACACUCACAAGGCAGACCCUGUUCAUUCUCUAAUUCUGUAUGUAGUAAAUUUGAUUUAAUUAUGAAAGGCAAGGUUUACAUCCAUCAAUGAAUGGGGCUUUUUUUCUAUACUGUAUUUGAGCUGCAGUAAUUCUGUGGAUUGCACUGAGCACACUUUAAACAAUUGCAUUUCGCUAAACAUCUUUAAACAUUUUGACAAAUUUAACUUCCCCCUGAACACAGAGGAUAAGAGGAAAAACAUUUCUCUGAUGAGAACAGAAACAGCAAGAAGUUCUAACAAGGAAAAGCCUGCCAGGUGGCGAACUGGCUGCACCAACAGAACGCACAAUCUGUCUGCUUCUCCUUCCAAACCAUUGACAGCUGCCAUCACCAGCCUUGCACACUCGCACUCAGUGGCUCCUCAGCUCCCUGCCCAUCCCUCUUUAGUGUUUCCUGCUAACCUCAGAGACAGGGUCACCUGGCCCCCUAGUUGCCCGUCUGUGGGGCCCUGCUGGCCCCCUGGAGACCUGCCUGCAUGGGGAUGCAUGGCUAACAGAGGUCUAGUAAAGCCUCUUUAAUAUGCAAACCAAGGGGCUAUUCCUUUGACCUGAGACCAUAGCUUUUCUAACAGUGAAAUCCAAAAAUAUUCUUGUGAUGUACAACGACGAGAUCUGAUCAGCAGUUUUUGAUCUGCUGGUUAUUUGAUACCUGAUAUUAUAACGUACAAACGGCAGCGUAUUUGGAUAUUUUCCUCAAGCAGGUGGGUCAUUUACAGCGAUGUAGCAUGAUUGAAUCAGAGUGUGUUCCCUUCACUUUAUUUGAACGAGAAUAUAAUCAUCUGCAGUUUUAACAUUUUGUUAAAUUGGAACAGCAUUUCUCCGCUGAGUAAAACCUAAGCACACAGAUGCACAGAGGCUAAACUGAGGAGUGUUCCACAAAGCUACCAUUGCAACUGGGCUAAAAAUAAAACCUGGCAAAGUUAUUCUGAUCCCUUAUUGGUCCCAUAGUUUGAUUUCACAUUUAGCAUUUGCAUUCCCCUCCGCAUAAACAUUUCAUUCUUCCCCUCCUGCAGUACAAUGAGACUUGAGUGACUUUGGCAGCAGAUUUUGGAUCGGUGCUCCUGAAUCCACCAGUGUAUGUUAUCAGCAGGUAAACAAGCUUUCGAACAAAGCCAUAAUGGAACUGCAAGCGGCAUAAAGAGGCUCAUCUCAAAAGCUAUACAACCCAUCAAAGCUGGUGUCAUUUCCUCAACACUGCACUGCAGCUGGAAAAUGCAUGGCUGUU